GAGCUGACUUGUAAUAGACAAAAAGGUCAUUUGAAUUAUCUGAUGUGACAAAAUAUUGCUAUAUGCAAAUUGAAUGUGACACAUGCACGGUCCGAGCCUUGUCUAGGUAGGGCUGAAGCCCGACCUAACCCAUCACUUCUGAAGAAAAAAAGUUCCUCAACCAAUUAUUUCUUACUUAGUCCAGUUUUAUUACUCAAGACAAAAG
rnacentral:lncRNA from 1 species